CUCCACCGUCUCUUCCGCCUUCUUUUCUUCCUUGGAACGCUUUUCUUGUGUCAACGUCGCCACCUCCGACCCCGACAACGACGACGAUGACGACGAUUACUACUCCACCACUGCCACCACUCCCACCGCCUCCACCACCCCCGCAGCCAGCAACUCCACUCCCCCCUCCGUCUCGGUUAACGCCGAAGAAACAAACGACGUCUCCAACCUCCCUGUUUGAGGCCAUACGACGUCGUCGCUGCUGCUGCUCUGUAUAGACCUUUUUCCUUUUCCUCUUUUCGCGUGUGUGUUGUUAUGUAAGGAAUUCCGUUUUUCGUUUCUUCAUUUUUUUUAAAAAAAAAUGUGAUGCCAUUUUAUGCCUGUCUACAUAUAUAAUUAUUUAAUUAUUACAUGCUUAUAUAUUUCUAUUAAUUAUAUUAUUUAUUUAUAUCUAUUCAUUCUAUCUGAUUGCUGUGAUAUGUUAUUGUCGCUAUUUCAAUUAAGCUUGGUUGAUGUUUUUUGUAUUUUGAUUUGGGCAAUUCUUUGAAUUAAUCAUUGGAAAUAUCGUGUUAGUUAUGGAUUUAAUUUGAAUUUACUCGCAAGCGAAGCGUGUAGUUGUUGCAGUACUGUUUCAGAGCUCAGUUUUCAUUACGAGUUUUCUAGCUAGGCCUAGGUCCUGAUUCAUUUAUUUCGUUGUGGUGGUCCAUUGUGGGUUGAGCCUUGGUACAUUGCUAAGAACAACUCACAGAAAUGUUAGUACACUGGAGGCAAUGAUUUCAAUUUUCUAAAAACACGAGAUGACAUGUGAUGAAACAUUAUUGCUGUGUUCAGUGAAAUAGUUAAUUUAUUGGAUGAAUAGGGCAAAAUAGACAUGUAUCCCAUUUGCCCUUGGCUUCCACAUAUCGAAUAAAAUGUAAACACUAAAGGAAAUAAAUAAAGUUUAAGAUGAGGUUUAGUGUAGCUGGUUUUAAAGCAGGUAUUGGAAUACACGUAUGUAUCACUUGAUGCUUAUCUAAUAAGGUGAUCACAAAUUCUAGUUUUGGGGUGUCAAAUGACUGGUAUUAUUUUGCAUACCCAACAUUUUGUUCUUCUGGGAAAACUCGUGUGAAGGAUUUUUUUUUUUAAAUUAUAGCCUAAAGAAGUUAUUUUAUCCUAUGUCACUGUUCGUGCAAAAUUUAGAAUGACUACAAUAGUAUGCUGGGAUAGAAAACGAAAUGGAAGGAAGUGUAGCAGCUCUUAUGUAGAUUUAUUUCUGGGGAUUGUUGUACAUGGGAUUGUGUUAUACCUCCAAAAUCUGAUACGCAAUACAGACACAAUAAUUUACCAGGAAAUUCAAUUUUUUUUAGUUCAUAAAUAUCUGCUAUCAACAUUAGGAGUGAGACUAGGAUAGAGCAAAUCAACAUUUUACGUAUCUUUAUUUUAAAUGUAAAAUAAUUGUAGAAUACAAAAAGGUUGUUACUGUUAAAUGUUUGAUAAUACCUGCUAUCCUAUAUAACAAAAAUUAAGGAAUUUAGUUAGUAGUAUUACACUUCUUAAUUUAUAUUUUUCUAAAUUAUCUCUGGAACUGUUUAGAUUUCAUUUUUUUUGUAUCUCUUUCAGUCUAAUUAACUAGUGUAUCUCCUCUUUAGUUAGAGCAUUUUUGUAGACAAAAAAAUUGUUGGACAUGAGGGAUCUUAUAAAGAAAGAUCAAGACAAACUUCCCUUCCGAUAAAAAGACCAGAAGUAGUAUAAAAUAAUGAUUUCUCAACUGUCAUUGGUUUAGUCUGCAAAAUUUAUAAAGUCUAUACGAGAAGAUCUGUCUUGGAAGUAGAAUUAUCGAUUUUAGAGUAGAUUUAGCUUUAAAAUAUGCUCGAGGAGGAUUAGAUUUUCUGCUUGGUUAAUUCUUUUUAAAAUUGAUUCCCUGUCCGUAUUCUAACUCUAGGAAAAGGUGAUUAAGUUGGAUUGCCUUGUAAAGGAUGUUGGAUAUGCGAAAUAAAUAUCUCUAAUAUCUGUAAUGGAGACUGGUAUAACAAUAUGUUUUAAGCAUAGAACAUGCAAUGUGAGAGUGAGACUAAUUUGAGCUUAUGCUGUACCCUUUUCUUUCUAGGUUCAUCUUUCUCCUCUUUCCCACUCAACUCUUUACUUGUGCUUGUGUGUGGAUGGAUCACUCUAUCCUAUCGGAUGUAUUGCUUUGUAGUUGGAAACAAUAACUUACAGAAUGAAAAAAAUUAUAGUAGAUCAACAUUGUCAUAUUCACUGGCUAGGUGAAAAAGCUUUCUUCAAUUGUUGCUUUUGGUGAUAAUCCAGACCUGCUGGUUCUUUGCCCAUAAUCGCUGCAGUGUUAUAACCAAUUUAUUUUCGUCAGAAUAAUACAAAAACACAACAUGAACAGUAGUACAGUCAAUGCUGUUUUGAGUAUUUUACCGAUUUUACUGCUCUGCAUUCUCCUUCCAACAUAGAAGCAUGACUAUGCAUCGACGAAUUAUGUAAAGCUUUGCUCUCUUCUCCUUCAAAAUUCUACCCUUUGGUGCCUGAAACUUGUCUUGCUUUUCUGUGGACGUGGAAAUAUCCAUGAUCUGGUUUCUCUUUUUCCCAACUAUUCCUGUUAGAAUUCUUCUCUUGCGUCAAGGAAUGUCUCUCGGUAGAAGUCUGUCUGUAGGAGUUACUCAGAUUUUGUUUGAGUGUGCUUUCAGUUUGAAGUCACUAAAAGUGGUGAAAGUAAAGGCAAAUAGUUAUUAGUAAUUGGAGUUAGCUUUCUGCGGUCAAACAUAGAGCAGAUUUUCUGCUUUAAGUCGUGGUCUUGGGCUUCUCUGGUCUAACGUCCGGAAUCCCGGGACUGCUGUCUUCUCUGCUCUGCCUCCCCAUUUACUGCCAAAAGACAAAGAAACUGCCUCUAAUUUCUAUUGGAUAAGUAUAAAUGCUUUAUGAUUUCACUCACUGAGCCUUUCUCUUCAUCAUUAUCUUGUUAAGCUCAAAGAGACUAAUGUGUCGGCCUUUAUUGUCACUCAGAUAUUAUUAUUUCAAGACUUGAUUAUCGUUUUGGUUCUUUCUAUUAUCGUCAUUUCUUGGGAUUCAUUUCGUACUCUCCUAAUUCUACAAUUUUGAUUCUCUACUGUUUUGAUUAUGUAACUGUUUACGACGCAUUGUCGUCAAUAGUCUGUCCAGCUGUUAAGUCAACAUUUAUUUAAAUGUUGAAUGUGCAAUUAACGUUGUUUAAAAUUAAGUAGAUGAAAUAAAUAUGAACACUAAAUGAGAUUUCAACACUAACUUGCAAUUUCCAAUUCCUUUUACUAAGAAAACGAGGGGCUUGAUGCUAAUUUAUAUAAUAAACUCAUAUGCCUAAGUGGGACUAACCUUUGAUAACAUUUAGAUAAAAACUCAUUUUGUUUAAAAAAAAUAGUCAACCUAAUUUUUUAAAGCUAAAACACCACCUUCAAGCCAUUACAUGUGAAAUUUAUUUGUCAAACUCAUUCCACGCUUAGCUAUAACAUUUGCAGCCUGAUUUAAUUCGUGUAAGAUAUGUAUGGAUAUCAUGGAUAGUCUCAAGUUCUUGUGACUGUGAGUUUUAGAGGGAACAACUUAUGCCAUGAAAGAGAAUAUUGUAUAAAUAUCGUAUAAUAUUAUGCUUUAUAAAGUAGAGAAAUUUUGGCAUUUGGUUAUGAAAUUAAAAUAGAUAAAGGGAGAGUCACAGAGAUUCUCGUGUCACCAAUUUCAAAGUAUAUACAAUGCAGAGUUUUGAUCAAAUAUAAAAAUUUGCAAUUGGAUGACAACGCAGAGAAAUUUCACGUUGUCAAUUAUUAAGUCUUUGUAUUUUAUUUAUUUUUGUAACAUAUUUUUAAGAUAAAAUGCCCCUGAUUUUGAUCAUUUCGUUAAAUUUGUCUUUUAAAGACUGCAUUUUAUGAUACUAAGGAAAGAAAAAUCAAUCAAAGAAAUUGAUUCUAUUUUUUCUAUUAAUUUUAAUCACAGACAAUGAUGAAAAGAAAAUAGAAUUCAAAAGUGAUCUUUAAAUAAGAAUUAAAAAACGAAUUAAAACAUAUAAAAAGUAGUAAUUCUCAAGUAAGAAAGUAUUGUUUUUUAGUUACAUCAACACUGUUAUUUUUUUAAUAUUCUUUACAGUUGCAUAUCUCUCUUUUUUCAAAUUACAUUAAGAUCUCCUAUUUAUUUUAAAAUUAUUAAACUGUCUCCAGUGUGAGGAAAUCUAACAUGAUGUGAAUAAUAAACACGGAAAUAAAUUAUUAUGUUAUCCUUUGGAAUUUUCUCUAAUUACACUUACAUCUCCGACUUUCAAUGAGGUGUGUAAAGUGAAGAAAAACAAAAACAAAAAAAA
rnacentral:lncRNA from 1 species